CGGGCUGUAGUAUAACGGUAGUACGCGAGCAUGGGGUGCUUGUAGCCGGGGUUCAAUUCCCCGCAGCCCGA
rnacentral:tRNA from 1 species